UACGAAGGGGGCUAGCGUUGUUCGGAGUUACUGGGCGUAAAGGGCGCGUAGGCGGCGCAUCAAGUCAGGCGUGAAAGCCCUGGGCUCAACCCGGGAAUUGCGCUUGAGACUGGUGUGCUUGAGUACGGGAGAGGAUAGUGGAAUUCCCAGUGUAGAGGUGAAAUUCGUAGAUAUUGGGAAGAACACCAGUGGCGAGGGCGGCUAUCUGGACCGUAACUGACGCUGAGGCGCGAAAGCGUGGGGAGCAAACAGG
rnacentral:rRNA from 1 species